UCACUUUGGCAGCACAUAUACUAAAAUUGGAAUGAUAUAGAAAAGAUAUAUUAUGGCCUCUGUGCAAGGAUAACUCAAAUUUGUGAAGCGAUCCAUAUUUAA